GUGCUCUCUUUGGCAGCACAUAUACUGAAAUUGAAAUGACACAGAGGAGAUUAGCAUGGCCCCUGUGCAAGAAUGACAUGCAAAUUUGUGAGGCCUUCCAUAUAAUA
rnacentral:snRNA from 1 species